rnacentral:lncRNA from 1 species
CGGGAUCUUAUACUCAUAAGAAAUAUUUUUCUUUAUAACUAUUAUUACCUAGUAUUACUAAUUUUUAAAAUAAAUAUUAUGGCUUAAAAAUUUACUGUGUACAAAAUAAAGAUAUCAGGUGAUUUUAUAACAGUACGAGUGUUUUCAUUACGAUAGACAGGCAUGAAGAAGCCAAGACACAAUAAUGGCGCGGCAAAACGAUCAGUGAAAUCCAAUACUGUGCCUAAAACGGAAAACUCCCCUCCGAAACUCGAUUCAUUAGAUGACGAUGACCAAGGGUUUGGGGGGUGGCUCAGAUCGGAUGAAGGCGUGGAGAACAUGAGACUGUUUGUGAUAGCCAACACCAUCGUGCUCCUCACGACUCUCGCAUACCCGCACAUGCAACUGAUGUUUGAAAUCAUAUCUGAUGCUCUGUACGGCCCUGAUGCAUUAAUUUAAUACACCCAUAAAAGAAUAUAACGGGAUAAACAUAUCAAUAAUAUUGUACAAUGGAAGAAGGACUUCAAGAGAGAAACAAUUUUUCUCGGAGCUCAGUUAUAAGGUCAGCCCAAGUUCCACGUACAGCCAUUUGUAUUGUCUUAUAUUGUUAAUUGUGUUGACCCAGCGUGAAAUAUAUCAGCCAUGGCGGCUUCGAGGUGGUAUUUAGGUUAUUUUUCUCAGAACUAACUAUACAAUUUGGUUAUUUAGAUUAGAUUUAUACCUUAUAUCAUAAUGCUAAUGAACAGAAUAUAUAUAAAAUGUUAGUGUUAGUGUAGUAAAUUGUAAUUUUAACUAGGUCUUUCAAUGUAAAUUGAUUUUUAUUAUGCUAUAUGAAAUGUAAAAUAAAUACUUUAACCUUAACCACGUCAAUUGUAUUUCGUUAAAUAUUCGCAGUUGUAAUUGCGUUAGACAUAUUUAAUAGAAAUAUUUAAAGAUAGAA